GACGUAGGAGGCAAGCGUUGUCCGGAUUUACUGGGCGUAAAGUGUCCGUAGGCGGUUGCGUAAGUGGUGUGUGAAAGCCUCCGGCUUAACUGGGGGGAGGUCAGGCCAAACUGCGGAACUGGAGGGUCGGCGAGGCAGACGGAAUUCUGGGGAGGAGCAGUAAAAUGCGUAGAGUUCCAGAGGAACGACCGGUGGCGAAAGCGGUCUCGCUGGACGAUCCCUGACGUGAGGGACGAAAAGCGUGGGGAGCAAACAGG
rnacentral:rRNA from 1 species